CCUACGGGAGGCAGCAGUGAGGAAUAUUGGUCAAUGGGCGCGAGCCUGAACCAGCCAAGUAGCGUGAAGGAUGACUGCCCUACGGGUUGUAAACUUCUUUUAUAAAGGAAUAAAGUGAGGCACGUGUGCCUUUUUGUAUGUACUUUAUGAAUAAGGAUCGGCUAACUCCGUGCCAGCAGCCGCGGUAAUACGGAGGAUCCGAGCGUUAUCCGGAUUUAUUGGGUUUAAAGGGAGCGUAGAUGGGUUGUUAAGUUAGUUGUGAAAGUUUGCGGCUCAACCGUAAAAUUGCAAUUGAUACUGGCAGCCUUGAGUACAGUUGAGGUAGGCGGAAUACGUGGAGUAGCGGUGAAAUGCUUAGAUAUCACGAAGAACUCCGAUAGCGAAGGCAGCUUACUAAACUGCCACUGACAUUGAUGCUCGAGAGUGUGGGUAUCAAACAGGAUUAGAUACCCUAGUAGUC
rnacentral:rRNA from 1 species